AUUAUUUGAAGAUAGAACAGGCAGCUAUCGCACCUAUAUUAAUAGGUUCAUAAAAGAGAUGCAGGAUACGCCGCCCUGCCAAUUAAU
rnacentral:ncRNA from 12 species